AUUGAUUGGUGCUUGCAUCAUGAUUUACAUUUGAGUGAGUGGCGAACUGGUGAGUAACACGUGGGAAACCUGCCCAGAAGCGGGGGAUAACACCUGGAAACAGAUGCUAAUACCGCAUAACAACUUGGACCGCAUGGUCCGAGCUUGAAAGAUGGCUUCGGCUAUCACUUUUGGAUGGUCCCGCGGCGUAUUAGCUAGAUGGUGGGGUAACGGCUCACCAUGGCAAUGAUACGUAGCCGACCUGAGAGGGUAAUCGGCCACAUUGGGACUGAGACACGGCCCAAACUCCUACGGGAGGCAGCAGUAGGGAAUCUUCCACAAUGGACGAAAGUCUGAUGGAGCAACGCCGCGUGAGUGAAGAAGGGUUUCGGCUCGUAAAACUCUGUUGUUAAAGAAGAACAUAUCUGAGAGUAACUGUUCAGGUAUUGACGGUAUUUAACCAGAAAGCCACGGCUAACUACGUGCCAGCAGCCGCGGUAAUACGUAGGUGGCAAGCGUUGUCCGGAUUUAUUGGGCGUAAAGCGAGCGCAGGCGGUUUUUUAAGUCUGAUGUGAAAGCCUUCGGCUCAACCGAAGAAGUGCAUCGGAAACUGGGAAACUUGAGUGCAGAAGAGGACAGUGGAACUCCAUGUGUAGCGGUGAAAUGCGUAGAUAUAUGGAAGAACACCAGUGGCGAAGGCGGCUGUCUGGUCUGUAACUGACGCUGAGGCUCGAAAGUAUGGGUAGCAAACAGGAUUAGAUACCCUGGUAGUCCAUACCGUAAACGAUGAAUGCUAAGUGUUGGAGGGUUUCCGCCCUUCAGUGCUGCAGCUAACGCAUUAAGCAUUCCGCCUGGGGAGUACGGCCGCAAGGCUGAAACUCAAAGGAAUUGACGGGGGCCCGCACAAGCGGUGGAGCAUGUGGUUUAAUUCGAAGCUACGCGAAGAACCUUACCAGGUCUUGACAUACUAUGCAAAUCUAAGAGAUUAGACGUUCCCUUCGGGGACAUGGAUACAGGUGGUGCAUGGUUGUCGUCAGCUCGUGUCGUGAGAUGUUGGGUUAAGUCCCGCAACGAGCGCAACCCUUAUUAUCAGUUGCCAGCAUUAAGUUGGGCACUCUGGUGAGACUGCCGGUGACAAACCGGAGGAAGGUGGGGAUGACGUCAAAUCAUCAUGCCCCUUAUGACCUGGGCUACACACGUGCUACAAUGGAUGGUACAACGAGUUGCGAACUCGCGAGAGUAAGCUAAUCUCUUAAAGCCAUUCUCAGUUCGGAUUGUAGGCUGCAACUCGCCUACAUGAAGUCGGAAUCGCUAGUAAUCGCGGAUCAGCAUGCCGCGGUGAAUACGUUCCCGGGCCUUGUACACACCGCC
rnacentral:rRNA from 2 species